CCUACGGGUGGCUGCAGUGAGGAAUAUUGGUCAAUGGGCUCACGCCUGAACCAGCCAAGUCGCGUGAGGGAAGACGGCCCUAUGGGUUGUAAACCUCUUUUGCCGGGGAGCAACGGCGGCUACGUGUAGCGGCACUGAGAGUACCCGGAGAAAAAGCAUCGGCUAACUCCGUGCCAGCAGCCGCGGUAAUACGGAGGAUGCGAGCGUUAUCCGGAUUUAUUGGGUUAAAAGGGUGCGUAGGCGGAAGGUCAAGUCAGGGGUAAAAUUGAGGGGCUCAACCCCGCUCCGCCAUUGAAACUGGCGCUCUUGAGUGGAAGAGAAGUAUGCGGAAUGCGUGGUGUAGCGGUGAAAUGCAUAGAUAUCACGCAGAACCCCGAUUGCGAAGGCAGCAUGCCGGCUUCCAACUGACGCUGAAGCACGAAAGCGUGGGGAUCGAACAGGAUUAGAUACCCUUGUAGUC
rnacentral:rRNA from 1 species